UACGAAGGGGGCGAGCGUUGUUCGGAAUCACUGGGCGUAAAGCGCACGUAGGCGGCGCGUUAAGUCAGGGGUGAAAUCCUGGAGCUCAACUCCAGAACUGCCUUUGAUACUGGCGUGCUCGAGUGUGGGAGAGGUUGGUGGAACUCCGAGUGUAGAGGUGAAAUUCGUAGAUAUUCGGAAGAACACCAGUGGCGAAGGCGGCCAACUGGCCCAUUACUGACGCUGAGGUGCGAAAGCGUGGGGAGCAAACAGG
rnacentral:rRNA from 1 species